GACGAACGCUGGCGGCGUGCCUAAUACAUGCAAGUCGAGCGAAGGGACGAGGAGCUUGCUUCUCUUUUGUGAGCGGCGGACGGGUGAGUAACGCGUGGAUAAUCUACCUAUAAGAGGGGGAUAACUUCGGGAAACGGGUGCUAAUACCGCAUAAUAUCUUUAACCAUAUGGUUUAAAAGUGAAAGACGGUAUUGCUGUCACUAAUAGAGGGAUCCCGGCUGCUUUAGCAGUUUGGUAAGGUAACGGCUUACCAAGGGAAGGAUGCAUAGCCGACCGAAGGGGGUGAUCGGCCACACGGGAACGGGGCAACGGUCAAGACUCCUACGGGAGGAACCAGAAGGGAAUCUUCGGCAGUGGGGGAAAGCCUGACGGAGAAAGCCGGCGUGAGUGAUAAAGGUCUCGGGAUCGAAAAACCCUGUUAUAGGGGAGAAACAUAUGUGGAAGUAAAUGUGCACAUAGUGACGGUACCUAAUCAGAAAGCCACGGCUAACUACGUG
rnacentral:rRNA from 1 species